rnacentral:rRNA from 1 species
CAGUAGCCGCGGGAACACGUAGGGUGCGAGCGUUAAUCGGAAUUACUGGGCGUAAAGCGGGCGCAGACGGUUACUUAAGCAGGAUGUGAAAUCCCCGGGCUCAACCUGGGAACUGCGUUCUGAACUGGGUGACUAGAGUGUGUCAGAGGGAGGUAGAAUUCCACGUGUAGCAGUGAAAUGCGUAGAGAUGUGGAGGAAUACCGAUGGCGAAGGCAGCCUCCUGGGAUAACACUGACGUUCAUGCCCGAAAGCGUGGGUAGCAAACAGGAUUAGAUACCCCAGUAGUCCCUGUCUCUUAUAC